CCCUAGUAACUGCGAGUGAAGCGGGAAAAGCUCAAAUUUAAAAUCUGGUGGUCUUUGAUCAUCCGAGUUGUAAUCUAGAGAAGUGUUAUCCGCGCUGGACCGUGUACAAGUCUCCUGGAAUGGAGCGUCAUAGAGGGUGAGAAUCCCGUCUUUGACACGGACUGCCAGGGCUUUGUGAUGCGCUCUCAAAGAGUCGAGUUGUUUGGGAAUGCAGCUCAAAAUGGGUGGUAAAUUCCAUCUAAAGCUAAAUAUUGGCGAGAGACCGAUAGCGAACAAGUACCGUGAGGGAAAGAUGAAAAGAACUUUGGAAAGAGAGUUAAACAGUACGUGAAAUUGCUGAAAGGGAAACGCUUGAAGUCAGUCGCGUUGGCCGGGGAUCAACCUUGCUUUUGCUGGGCGUACUUUCCGGUUGACGGGUCAGCAUCAAUUUUGACCGUUGGAUAAAGUUCAGGGGAAUGUGGCAUCUUCGGAUGUGUUAUAGCCUUUGUUCGCAUACAACGAUUGGGAUUGAGGAACUCAGCACGCCGCAAGGCCGGGUAUUUAAACUACGUUCGUGCUUAGGAUGCUGGCAUAAUGGCUUUAAUCGACCCGUCUUGAAACACGGACCAAGGAGUCUAACAUGCCUGCGAGUGUUUGGGUGGAAAACCCGAGCGCGUAAUGAAAGUGAAAGUUGAGAUCCCUGUCGUGGGGAGCAUCGACGCCCGGACCAGACCUUUUGUGACGGAUCCGCGGUAGAGCAUGUAUGUUGGGACCC
rnacentral:rRNA from 1 species